rnacentral:tRNA from 1 species
UGGUGGACAGCGGGCGGCUCGCCGCCGGCGCGCUGGAGGUCUGCCACCUGGGCGCGCUGUUCGACGCCGCGUACUUCGUCC